rnacentral:lncRNA from 1 species
CUUCUAGGUUUGUUAGUUUCAUCUCUUUCCUUCCUCCAUCUUGAGUUUUCUGAGAGUGUCUCAGAUCUAAAACUCUUCCUCCUACUUUUUAUCUUUGGAAGAGCCUAAAUCAAGAAGAAGAAGGUACCUGAUCAACCAUCGAAGAAGGAUCAACAUAGUACUAGCAUAUUGUGCUGAUUUUCUGAAGCAGGACUUCUGAUCGAGAUUCAUGGGAUCGUGUGGAUGACUCCUA